rnacentral:lncRNA from 1 species
UCUACUUCGUCGUGAGGACAGUCAUGGCACCAAAAAUAGUCAAGGAAUAAGCUGAAGUUCUGACUUUCCCAGGAUGACUGCAGAUGGAGGCUUCUCUGGGGGUCUUGGGACCUCUGAGCAUCAGGAAAGUUGCUUGGUCAGGAGGAUGCUUGUUAGACAGGAUGCCAAGACACGGGGUGUGCAGACUGGCCUUUGUCUCUAAGUUAGCAUCUGACCUUGGAGGGAAGGAAAGACUUUCCUGUAGGGCCUCAGUUUGCUCACCUAUAAAAUAAGGAAGUUGGAUCAAAUGAUCUCUAAGGUACUUUUAUCUCUUGCAUUUUAUUACUUCUGUCACUGAAAUCCUGUCAAGGCUCAAAGGAAUUAAUUUUACUGAUUAAAUUCCAGGCACUGUGUAUCCGCGGGAGGGAUAAUUGAGAAACAUGGUCAGUGACUUUCAAGUCAAUUCACAUGGUGACCCCCAACUCUGCCUAAUUGUCAAGAAAGGCCCUUCAACCAAUCUUCAAAUAGACUGAAUCAUAAAUUAGACAUGUCCAUAUCCAAGAUGUACUUUCUGGACCAAAAUAAGAGAGCAUGAAGAAGAGGCCUCUCCGGAGACCUUUAUGACCCAUGGAAUAUCCAGCUGAAGACGUCUCAACAAAGGUGUUUCAGAACUUCUUACAUGCUUCUGGAUUUCUCAUGCAGUCAGUCAUGGUCCAAUAGGCCCUGCCACUCAGUGUUUGUUGUCUGAACCUGAGCAGGAAAGGAAAAAGUAUUGGCUAAGCCUGUAUCCGAAGGGUGAGCCUUUCACAACCUUCCAGAGAAGAAUCUUCUCUGCGUUGGUUCAGCAUUCCAGACUGCUUCCAGCUGAUGGCACCUCUGUAUCAGCUGGCUGUGGAGAGUUGGUUACCAUGAGUUUCCUCCCAGGAAUGACAUCCAUCCCAUGUUCUCACAUCAUAUUGGAUAAAGCAAGUCACAUGGCCACUCUUAACCUUGGGACAGGACAGCGGCUUCUUAUCUCCUGGAAGUCAAGGGCAUCCAGACUUCAAUGAAUAAAGGUAAUAAUACAUCUCUUACUCAUAGGGUGGCAAAUGUUAGAAAUAAU